AUUGAACGCUGGCGGCAGGCCUAACACAUGCAAGUCGAGCGAGCGGCGGACGGGUGAGGAAUGUAUGGGGAUCUGCCUGAACGAGGGGGAUAACUACUGGAAACGGUCGCUAAUACCGCAUACCAUCAGAUGAACCCAUAUGGGAUUAGCUAGUAGGUGAGGUAACGGCUCACCUAGGCGACGAUCUCUAGCUGGUCUGAGAGGAUGAUCAGCCACACUGGGACUGAGACACGUCCCAGACUCCUACGGGAGGCAGCAGUGGGGAAUAGUGCACAAUGGGCGCAAGCCUGAUGCAGCCAUGCCGCGUGUAUGAAGAAGGCCUUCGGGUUGUAAAGUACUUUCAGUGGGGAGGCGUUACCGGCAGAAGAAGCACCGGCUAACUCCGUGCCAGCAGCCGCGGUAAUAC
rnacentral:rRNA from 1 species